rnacentral:rRNA from 2 species
CAGCACUAAGUGGGUGGUAAACUCCAUCUAAAACUAAAUAUAACCAUGAGACCGAUAGCAAACAAGUACCGUGAGGGAAAGUUGAAAAGAACUCUGAAUAGAGAGUUAAAUAGUACGUGAAACUGCUUAGAGGUUAAGCCCGAUGAACCUGAAUAUCCGUUGUAGAAAAUUCAUCAUCAAUUGUAUGAUAUUUUUUUAAUAUUGUAUCAAUGGUGUGCACUUUUUCUACUUAAGGACAUUGUAAUCCGUUAAUGUUUAAAUGCGUAUUAUAAGAACAUUUACAAUAGUUUUUACAUUAUUUAACUUGUUAAAUAUGUUUAAAUGUGGAUGCUUCGAAUAUGCCAUUGACGGAUUUUUCCGUAUAUUGCACUUAAAUCUUUUGAUUUUAUAAUAAUAUGAUUAUCAUUGAUUUUUGUAUUUAUUAUAUGUGCAUAUAUGAUUGACAAUGCGAAAGAUUCAGGAUACCUUCGGGACCC